CAUAGUGGCCAUAUACCUGCUUGUUAGUGCCUGAUCUCAUCUGAUCUCUGAAGCUAAGCAGGGCUGGGUAUGGUUAGUACUUGGAUGGGAGAUUGCUUGGAAAAUCAGGUACCACAGUGG
rnacentral:rRNA from 1 species